rnacentral:tRNA from 1 species
GCCCAGGUGGUGAAAUGGUAUACACGUACGAUUGAGGUUCGUAUGGCGCAAGCUGUGGAGGUUCAAGUCCUCUCCUGGGCA